GUGGAAGCAGAGAAACUCCCCUUCCUGUUUUUUCGGUCAAUGUCGAACACAUGCGGAGAACCUGUCGAACAAUCCUUUGCAAUCCACUUGGUCAGGUUUUUUGAUUGGGUGAUUCAAAUACUAUCUUCAUGCGCUGGAGCACUUUGCGUGGAGAGGACGGCAUUUCCCUUCCAGCCUAGGUGGAUGAGAGGCUCCACAGUCUCUCCAACUCCAACACUGAUUCUCCCCAUUUCCCAGAUCCAUCGAUCCGAUUCCCAGUGCAUACUGUGUGGGUCGCGGGGGGUUCGGGAGCCUAUCUCAGCUGCAUUCGGGCGGAAGGCAGGGUACACCCUGGACAAGUCCCCACCUCAUCGCAGGGCCAACACAGAUAGACAACAUUCUCUUAUUAUUAUAAUAAUUUCUAAUAUAAGUGUUUAGGCCCACUUACAAUGACAAUAACAAAAAAUAUUGUUUUUCAUGAACUGUGUACUUGUAUUGUUUGUCUGGGUGGAGGUCCUGCUUUGGAAAUAAUUUAUACCCCUUUCAGACAUUGCAUGUAGUUCCCGUUAAAACAUUCACAUGUUGCACAAUGAGAUGUAAGCAGGGGAUCAUUUGUACAUUCCUGCAACUUCCUGUUUGUAAAAAAUAUAUUUUUAUUAGUAUUUAUUUAAUAUACUAACAGCAUUUCAUGAUUAAUAUUUAUGAAUUAAGAUUCCUAAUAAAUGACACUAGAAUAAACACACAUUUGAUUGGUAAAUCAUAGUGUAACGACCUGGAAUGACACUGUGUGUGAUGUUGGAGUUGUCCGACUUUUUGUGUGGCUGUAAACGCAUCACUGGCUAAGUGCCAUAUGUGCAUGUGUUGGCACAAGAGAGAGCGAGCGAGCGGCUGCUGUUGAUAUAACAAAGUUGCUUUUGGUCUGGUUUGUACUGCAGAAAAUGACCACUUUUGCUAGAUAUCUUUUUUUUACCAAUGUUUUGGUGAUGUGUUUAUGGCCGACAAUAUAGAGUUUUGCUCAGUAAAGUGAUCGAUGGAAUUCAUGUCCUCAAAGCGUCCCAACAGACGUUACAAUAUUUGAACAAUGAUGACGAAAACUGUUUUCUCUGUCGUGUCCGUGUGUCAAAAAUGUGUACGCGCUUAUUUUUUUUAAUUUGAUUUUGUGCGUGGCAUAGAUUUGCAGAGCGCAGAGGACGCUUGAGCAGUGCGCAAUUGCACAGGCGCGCACCUUAGAGGGAACGUUGGUGGCGAGCUAACUGAGAAUCUGGACACUGUGGUGCAGUGUUGACGUCCCUCCCCCACGGUCUGUGCGGUAUGACAAUACUAAUACAGUGCAGUGUUAGCUACUGAGAAACGGGCCCCAACGAACAAUUUAAACCAACUUUGGGAACUUAGACAAAAGGGUUU